ACUCUAUUUUAGAGUCUAGUGCCAGCACAUACCCAGACUGUGUGAUCCCAUUUCUCGUUGGAAUGAACAUGGAAAACAACUAAGUUUCCAGAGAUGGCUUCAUCUUCUUGAUUCAUAUUUUGCCAUAUUUUAUGAAUUUCCAAUUUUUUUUAGACUUCAUAUAAUUGGCAUUUAAAUGAGACUCCAGAUCUGAAAUUCAACCUCCUUGGACUGAACUGACCUCCGGAGGUUUUCCACAGAUUUGGACAAAUCACUCAGAGGACUCCAGUGGUCAUGAUUAAAUGUUGGCAGAUGUGGGAAUGGAUGCCAGGGCUUAGCAUUUUCAGGAAAUACGAGGCUAUUUUCUAACAUUGCUGCACCUUGUACAGUAGAGUCCUGGCAGUGUCACCAGCACACAUAGCUCAAAGCCAGUAGCAUCACUGCCACCAACAAGGACCUAAAUGAGACUGUACAAUAGUUGUCUUCUUGAACUAUAUUUCACAUGCCAUUUCCUUCAAUUUUGUCCGCCUAUGGGAUUCCCUUGGAUUGCUGAAUAGUUAUUCACAUGUAUACACAUAUCACAUUUUGUUUAUCAGUCCUGGAAAUGAUUCUUAACUAUGACAUGAAAACCAUAGCAACAAAAGGAGGAGAAAGUGAAGCAACGCCAGAGCAAAAAUCCCCUGUGCAGUCAUCAAGCAAGCAAAGGCAAGAACUCUGUCCUCACAAGGCAGGCCCUCUGUACUGGCUAGUUUUGUGUCAACUUGACACAGCUGGAGUUAUCACAGAGAAAGGAGCUUCAGUUGAGGAAAUGCCUCCAUGAGAUCCAACUGUUCCCGUCUUGAAGGGUUGAAAAGUCAUCCUGGUGCAAGUAUAAAUUCUAUGAGCCCUAGAUGGAAAAGAAGCCACUAUGACCUGUCACCUGAGGAAGGAGGCAACAAGGCUUGAUUUGUUGCAUCUUACACUUGACAGUUGUAAGCACUGACAUCCAGGUUCAUCUCAGAAAUUUUCCAAACGAACACACGAUAGGUGAACAUUUCUUACAACUUGGAAUAAAUCCUUGUUUGCUGUCA